rnacentral:rRNA from 1 species
UGGCGAACGGGUGAGUAACACGUGGGUGAUCUGCCCUGCACUCUGGGAUAAGCCUGGGAAACUGGGUAUAAUACCGGAUAGGACCAUGCUUUAGUGUGUGUGGUGGAAAGUUUUUUCGGUGUGGGAUGAGCCCGCGGCCUAUCAGCUUGUUGGUGGGGUAAUGGCCUACCAAGGCGGCGACGGGUAGCCGGACUGAGAGGUUGGUCGGCCACAUUGGGACUGAGAUACGGCCCAG